rnacentral:SRP_RNA from 1 species
GCUGGGUGUGGUGGUUCACACCUGUAAUCCCAGCUACUCAGGAGGCUGAAGCAGGAGGAUCACUUGAGCCCAGGAGUUUGAGGCUGCAGUGAGGUGUCAUCACACUACUGCACUCCAUCCUGUGCAACAGAGCGAGAUCCUGUCUCAA